UAGGGAAUCUUCCGCAAUGGGCGAAAGCCUGACGGAGCAACGCCGCGUGAGUGAUGAAGGUCUUCGGAUUGUAAAACUCUGUUAUUAGGGAAGAACAAAUGUGUAAGUAACUAUGCACGUCUUGACGGUACCUAAUCAGAAAGCCACGGCUAACUACGUGCCAGCAGCCGCGGUAAUACGUAGGUGGCAAGCGUUAUCCGGAAUUAUUGGGCGUAAAGCGCGCGUAGGCGGUUUUUUAAGUCUGAUGUGAAAGCCCACGGCUCAACCGUGGAGGGUCAUUGGAAACGGGAAAACUUGAGUGCAGAAGAGGAAAGUGGAAUUCCAUGAGUAGCGGUGAAAUGCGCAGAGAUAUGGAGGAACACCAGUGGCGAAGGCGACUUUCUGGUCUGAAACUGACGCUGAUGUGCGAAAGCGUGGGGAUCAAACAGG
rnacentral:rRNA from 1 species